rnacentral:tRNA from 1 species
GCCAGUGUAGCUCAGGGGUAGAGCAGCUGUUUUGUAAACAGCCGGUCAUCGGUUCGAAUCCGGUCACUGGCU